rnacentral:lncRNA from 1 species
AAUUUCCGAACGUAAACACCGUCAUAUCGUUGAAACUGGUCUCACUCUUCUUGCUCAUUCCUCCUUACCAACUUCUUUUUGGGAUGAUGCUUUCCAUACAGCAAACUAUUUGAUCAAUCGUUUACCCACUAAAGUUCUCCAUGAUGAGUCUCCCUUUCAAAAACUGUUUCAAAAAUCUCCUCAAUAUGAUUUUCUUAAAGUUUUUGGGUGUGCAUGUUUUCCAUUUCUUCGUCCUUAUAAUACUAACAAGCUGCAAUUUCGCUCCAAACGUUGCAUUUUCUUAGGUUAUUCAUUAAAUCAACAAGGUUAUAGGUGUUUAGAUACGUCCACAGGUCGCAUUUUUUUGUCACGCCAUGUCCUAUUUGAUGAAACCAAUUUUCCAUACAAAGAAUCCAUUUCUACAACGUCCUCAUCCUCCCAAUCGUCUAUGGUACUGAACAUUGACCCCUCUUCUUUCCAUUAUCCCUCUAGGAACCCCAUUUUCCCAACUGUACCACCAAACCCACAUCCGUCCAACUUAUUCCCCAUAUUAUCUCACCCACCUAACCCUAGUCCUAUUCCCUGCCCUUUACCACCACAUCCGCACCAUCACAUGCAUCCCACUAUACCAUCCCCCAACCUAACCCUAUUUCCUCUAAUUUCCCACCAAAUCCGCACCUCCCUGCCCCUUCUUCCAUUCCAUCCCCUACGACUGCAAUGGGUGUUGCUCCUGUCUCACCUUCCUCUCAGAGACAAAUUCAACCUGUUCACUCCAUGGUUACACGCUCAAAGGAUGGCAUUCAGAAGCCAAACCCCAAGUAUGCUCUUGUUUCUGAUGUGACUAAUGAACUUGUUGAGCCCUCUUGUUUUACACAGGCAAAUAAGUCUCCCGAAUGGCGUAUGGCAAUGGCAGAAGAGUUCAAUGCUCUACAAAGCACAGGAACGUGGUCCCUAGUUCCUUCUCAUCCCUCCAUGAAUGUCCUACCAAAUAAAUGGGUCUACCGUAUUAAACGGAAAUCUGACGGUUCCAUUGAAAGAUUUAAAGCACGUCUUGUUGCCAAUGGUUUCCAUCAACAAGAAGGGCUUGAUUACAGUGAGACGUUUAGUCCCGUCGUCACUCAUGGCUUCUCAAUCUUCCUCUCCCAUUCCCUUUCCUAAUGUCUCCAAUUUUCUCACGAUCAAACUUGAUCGUACCAACUACCCUCUCUGGCAAGCCCAAAUGCUACCUCUCCUCCGCAGUCGAAAUCUGGUUUCCUUUGUUGAUGGAACUAGUAAGUGUCCCCCAGCAUUGCUGACAGAUGAGGAUGGAAACAUCACUGACAAAGUCAACCCUGAUUUCGACACUUGGAUACAACAGGAUGCAACUGUUAUGUCAUGGAUCAACUCCUCCGUCCAUCCUACCGUGCUUGCUGCUUUAAUUGGGAAAACCAGCUCCCACUCUGCCUGGACAACACUACGUGAUCGUUAUGCUUCUCAGUCCACCGGUCGCCUUCUCCAGCUUCGUAGUGAGUUGAUGAAUACUCACCGAGGUGAUUCUUCCAUUUCUGAAUUUUUGGAUAAAAUUAAUUGUCUCGCAGAUACCCUCUCUCUCUCUGGUGCUCCCGUUUCCGACUCCGACAUCGUUGCCAUCAUCCUCAACAACGUUGGUCCGGCCUAUGAAAGUACCGUUGCUUCCGCUCAAGCCCGUGAUGAGGCUAUUACCUACAGUGCUUUGGAAGCCCUCCUCCUUGGCGCUGAAAGACGACAGCAAAUACAUUCGCGUUUGGUACUGACAGUGGGCUCACUGUCCUUGCCGCCGCUCGCAAUGGCAACCGCGCACCUGCAUCUUCUCGAGGACGAGGAUCCUCUACUGGCUUCCGUGGUCGUAGUAACUUCAAUACUGGUCGCGGCUCUACCAAUCGCCACUACAGCUCCUCACCCUCUCACCAAGGUUCCUACUAUCACCAAGGGUCCAACUCUCACCAAGUAUCCCACUCCCGCCCACAUGAUGGGAUUUCUUGGCACCUCUCCUUCCCAAGGUACUUUUUACUACAAGCCGGAUUCAAUGCCAAAUAUGUAAUCGUUAUGGUCAUUCUGCGAUUGACUGCUUCAACCGCCUAAAUAUGUCUUAUGAGGGACGUGUCCCUGCACCACGUCUUCAAGCCUUUGCUGCUCGUGCUCCUCCUGCUUCUGCAACAGCACCUGCCAUACAGGAAUGGCUGUUUGACUCCGGGGCCAAUGCUCACAUCACCAAUAAUCUAGCUACUGUUUGCGCAUCCUCAUCCUUAUACUGGCAUGGACCAAGUCAAUGGAGUUGUUGGUGGCACAGGUUUGCAAAUUUCACACAUAGGCAACACUUCCAUUCGUACACCUACCUCUACUUUCACAUUACCUAAUACACUACUAUGCCCUAAUGCAUCAACCAAUAUUAUUUCUAUCCAUCGUUUUACUACCGAUAAUAACUGUUCUCUAACCUUAUAUCCCAACUCAUACUGUGUUCAGGAACUCCACACGGGAGGAUGCUUUUACAAGGCCCGAGUAGGAAUGGAUUCUACCCUUUUUCUGGUGUUUCAUCUUCCAUUAAAGGCGUGUCUGCAUUUUUAGGAACUAGAGUGUCCAAUUCAAUUUGGCACUCUAGGUUAGGUCAUCCAUCUUCUCAUAUUUUGCAAAAUUUGGUUUCUAGGAACAAAUUGCCUAUUAAGGGCGUUGUAACUAGUGAGUUAUGUCACUCAUGUCCCAUGGGCAAGAGUCACAAGUUACCUUUUCCAUUGUCUGUCUCUAGGUCUUCAUCUCCUUUACAAUUGGUUCAUUCCGAUGUAUGGACUUCACCUUCUUUUUCUAUCAAUGGUUUUAAAUAUUAUGUCGUGUUUAUUGAUGAUUUUUCUCGCUACUCUUGGCUAUAUCCCUUAAAAUUAAAAUCUGAUGUUUUUCUCACUUUUGUGUCCUUUAAGAAAUUGGUUGAAAACAUGUUCCACACUACAAUUAAAUCCUUUCAAACUGAUGGAGGAGGGGAGUACGUAAACAACAAAUUCAAAAUUUUUUUGACUCAACAUGGCAUUCUACAUCGUUUUACAUGUCCACAUCAUCCUGAACAAAAUGGAAUUUCCGAACGUAAACACCGUCAUAUCGUUGAAACUGGUCUCACUCUUCUUGCUCAUUCCUCCUUACCAACUUCUUUUUGGGAUGAUGCUUUCCAUACAGCAAACUAUUUGAUCAAUCGUUUACCCACUAAAGUUCUCCAUGAUGAGUCUCCCUUUCAAAAACUGUUUCAAAAAUCUCCUCAAUAUGAUUUUCUUAAAGUUUUUGGGUGUGCAUGUUUUCCAUUUCUUCGUCCUUAUAAUACUAACAAGCUGCAAUUUCGCUCCAAACGUUGCAUUUUCUUAGGUUAUUCAUUAAAUCAACAAGGUUAUAGGUGUUUAGAUACGUCCACAGGUCGCAUUUUUUUGUCACGCCAUGUCCUAUUUGAUGAAACCAAUUUUCCAUACAAAGAAUCCAUUUCUACAACGUCCUCUCCUCAUCCUCCCAAUCGUCUAUGGUACUGAACAUUGACCCCUCUUCUUUCCAUUAUCCCUCUAGGAACCCCAUUUUCCCAACUGUACCACCAAACCCACAUCCGUCCAACUUAUUCCCCAUAUUAUCUCACCACCCACCUAACCCUAGUCCUAUUCCCUGCCCUUUACCACCACAUCCGCACCAUCACAUGCAUCCCACUAUACCAUCCCCCCAACCUAACCCUAUUUCCUCUAAUUUCCCACCAAAUCCGCACCUCCCUGCCCCUUCUUCCAUUCCAUCCCCUACGACUGCAAUGGUGUUGCUCCUGUCUCACCUUCCUCUCAGAGACAAAUUCAACCUGUUCACUCCAUGGUUACACGCUCAAAGGAUGGCAUUCAGAAGCCAAACCCCAAGUAUGCUCUUGUUUCUGAUGUGACUAAUGAACUUGUUGAGCCCUCUUGUUUUACACAGGCAAAUAAGUCUCUCCCGAAUGGCGUAUGGCAAUGGCAGAAGAGUUCAAUGCUCUACAAAGCACAGGAACGUGGUCCCUAGUUCCUUCUCAUCCCUCCAUGAAUGUCCUACCAAAUAAAUGGGUCUACCGUAUUAAACGGAAAUCUGACGGUUCCAUUGAAAGAUUUAAAGCACGUCUUGUUGCCAAUGGUUUCCAUCAACAAGAAGGGCUUGAUUACAGUGAGACGUUUAGUCCCGUCGUCACUCAUGCUACCAUCAGGAUCAUUCUCUCCGUGGCUCUUCAUUUUUAACUGGCCAAUUCGCCAACUUGACGUCAAAAAUGCGUUCCUUCAUGGCUCUUUAAAUGAAGAAGUCUACAUGCGCCAACCUUCUGGUUUUGUCGAUCCGCAGUUUCCGUCACAUGUAUGCCGUCUUCGCCGGUCCUUAUACGGCUUAAAACAGGCUCCACGUGCCUGGUUUCAGUGCUUCUCUCACCAUCUGGAGGAGCUCGGCUUUCAAGCCUCCAUGGCAGAUUCUUCGCUGUUCAUUUUCUGCAAUGGAACUAAUGUCAUUUACUUGCUCAUUUACGUUGAUGACAUCCUCGUCACCGGUAAUAAUCCAGCUCACAUCUCCACCUUGAUUCAUCAAUUGGGUCGAAAAUUCUCCAUGAAGGACCUUGGUCCCUUGCAUUAUUUUUUGGGAAUGGAAAUUACGAGAACGCCAACGGCCAUGUACUUAACACAGUCAAAAUAUAUCCUGGACCUCCUCAAACGAACUCAGAUGGCUGACGCCAAACCCUUGUCUACUCCAGCCCUCCCUGGCCGCAAGCUUAGUUUGUAUGAGGGCGAGCCCUUGGCGGAUGGAACAACCUUUCGAAGUAUUGUUGGGGCUCUCCAAUAUCUCUUAUUCACACGUCCGGACAUUGCUUUCGCUGUGAAUCAAGUCUGCCAGUAUAUGCAUUCGCCCACCACUACACAUUGGGUUGCCGUCAAACGCAUUCUUCGCUAUUUGAAAGCCACUCAUGAUCGCGGUCUCGUUUAUAAACCCAGUUUUUUGUCCCUCACAGCAUUUGCCGAUGCUGACUACGCUGGUGACCCUGAUGAUCGUCGCUCCACUGGUGGUCAUUGCAUAUUUCUAGGGGAUAACUUGGUCUCCUGGAGUUCUAAAAAGCAGCGCGGCGUGUCUCGCUCAAGUACGGAGGCCGAGUAUCGCCAAAUGGCCUACACAGCUGCCACCUUAUCUUGGUUCAGACACAUUUUUUGUGAUCUUCGUCUUCCUCUCACUCCACCAAAAUUGUGGUGUGACAAUAUCAGUGCACUGGCAGUGGCUUCCAAUCCUCUAAUUUCCCACCAAAUCCGCACCUCCCUGCCCCUUCUUCCAUUCCAUCCCCUACGACUGCAAUGGGUGUUGCUCCUGUCUCACCUUCCUCUCAGAGACAAAUUCAACCUGUUCACUCCAUGGUUACACGCUCAAAGGAUGGCAUUCAGAAGCCAAACCCCAAGUAUGCUCUUGUUUCUGAUGUGACUAAUGAACUUGUUGAGCCCUCUUGUUUUACACAGGCAAAUAAGUCUCCCGAAUGGCGUAUGGCAAUGGCAGAAGAGUUCAAUGCUCUACAAAGCACAGGAACGUGGUCCCUAGUUCCUUCUCAUCCCUCCAUGAAUGUCCUACCAAAUAAAUGGGUCUACCGUAUUAAACGGAAAUCUGACGGUUCCAUUGAAAGAUUUAAAGCACGUCUUGUUGCCAAUGGUUUCCAUCAACAAGAAGGGCUUGAUUACAGUGAGACGUUUAGUCCCGUCG